AACGAACGCUGGCGGCAUGCCUAACACAUGCAAGUCGAACGAGACCUUCGGGUCUAGUGGCGCACGGGUGCGUAACGCGUGGGAAUCUGCCCUUCUGUUGGGAAUAACUGAGAGAAAUUUCAGCUAAUACCUUAUAAUGUCUUCUGCCCAAAGAUUUAUCGCCGAGGGAUGAGCCCGCGUAGGAUUAGGUAGUUGGUGGGGUAAUGGCCUACCAAGCCGACGAUCCUUAGCUGGUCUGAGAGGAUGAUCAGCCACACUGGGACUGAGACACGGCCCAGACUCCUACGGGAGGCAGCAGUGGGUAAUAUUGGACAAUGGGCGAAAGCCUGAUCCAGCAAUGCCGCGUGAGUGAUGAAGGCCUUAGGGUUGUAAAGCUCUUUUACCCGGGAUGAUAAUGACAGUACCGGGAGAAUAAGCUCCGGCUAACUCCGUG
rnacentral:rRNA from 1 species